rnacentral:rRNA from 1 species
UACGAAGGGGGCUAGCGUUGUUCGGAAUUACUGGGCGUAAAGGGCGCGUAGGCGGCUCUUCAAGUCAGGCGUGAAAUCCCCGGGCUUAACCUGGGAAUUGCGCUUGAGACUGGCGAGCUUGAGUCCGGGAGAGGUGAGUGGAAUUCCCAGUGUAGAGGUGAAAUUCGUAGAUAUUGGGAAGAACACCAGUGGCGAAGGCGGCUCACUGGACUGGUAUUGACGCUGAGGUGCGAAAGCGUGGGGAGCAAACAGG